AGAGUUUGAUCCUGGCUCAGAUUGAACGCUGGCGGUAGGCUUAACACAUGCAAGUCGUGCGAGAAAGUAUCUUCGGAUAUGAGUAGAGCGGCGGACGGGUGAGUAACGCGUAGGAAUCUACCUAGUAGAAGGGGAUAGCCCGGGGAAACUCGGAUUAAUACCGUAUACCUCCUUUGGGAGAAAGAGGGCCUCUCUUGAUGCUCUCGCUAUUAGAUGAGCCUGCGUAAGAUUAGCUUGUUGGUGAGGUAAUGGCUCACCAAGGCUACGAUCUUUAGCUGGUCUGAGAGGACGAUCAGCCACAUUGGGACUGAGACACGGCCCAGACUCCUACGGGAGGCAGCAGUGGGGAAUAUUGGACAAUGGGCGCAAGCCUGAUCCAGCCAUACCGCGUGUGUGAAGAAGGCUCUAGGGUUGUAAAGCACUUUAAGCAGGGAGAAAAAGUUAUAAGUUAAUACCUUAUAACCGUGAUGUUACCUGCAGAAUAAGCACCGGCUAAUUCCGUGCCAGCAGCCCCGGUAAUACGGAAGGUGCAAGCGUUAAUCGGAA
rnacentral:rRNA from 1 species